AGAGUUUGAUCCUGGCUCAGGAUGAGCGCUGGCGGCGUGCUUAACACAUGCAAGUCGAACGAAACUAUAUUUUUGAGAAUCCCGAUUCCUCGGGGCGUCUCAUAAAUAUUGUUUAGUGGCGGACGGGUGAGUAACGCGUUGGUAUCUGCCUCAAAGUGGGAAAUAACCAGCCGAAAGGUUGGCUAAUGUCCCAUGUGAUCGCAAGAUUAAAGGAGCAAUCCGCUUUGAGAGGAGCCUGCGUCUGAUUAGCUUGUUGGUAAGGUAACGGCUUACCAAGGCGACGAUCAGUAAUUGGUCUGAGAGGAUGACCAGUCACACUGGGACUGAGACACGGCCCAGACUCCUACGGGAGGCAGCAGUGAGGAAUAUUCGGCAAUGGGGGAAACCCUGACCGAGCGACGCCGCGUGCAGGAAGACGGCCUUCGGGUUGUAAACUGCUUUUAUUUGGGAAGAUUAUGACGGUACCAAAUGAAUAAGGACCGGCUAACUACGUGCCAGCAGCCGCGGUAAUACGUAGGGUCCAAGCGCUAUCCGGAAUCACUGGGCGUAAAGAGUUUGUAGGCGGCGAUUUAAGUGAGAUGCGAAAUCCUGAGGCUCAACCUCAUGGACUGUAUUUCAAACUGAAUUGCUAGAGGUAUGCAGAGGUUAGCGGAAUUUGCGGUGUAGGAGUGAAAUCCGUAGAUAUCGCAAGGAACACCAAUGGCGAAGGCAGCUAACUGGGCAUUACCUGACGCUGAGAAACGAAAGCGUGGGGAGCGAACGGGAUUAGAUACCCCUGUAGUCC
rnacentral:rRNA from 1 species